rnacentral:lncRNA from 1 species
UAAAGCGGGAACCAAAAGGAAAAAUAGUUCAUCGUCUUCUUCUUGUUCUUGCAAGAUAAUCUAAUUUUAUUUCUCCUAGAAUCCAUCACUAUUAUACCCAAUGAAAACAAAAUUAAUACAACAAUAAUAAUUAUAAAUAAAGCACUAAUAAUACCAUCUCUAUGCUGCAAAGAAAGCUCAGGAGUGAAUACAGAGAUAAUACCACUUCUAUUGUGACAUCUACAUACAUAAUUAAGAGCAACAAUUUUCUCAUAUACUAAAAUAAGAACGCUUUCAUUACUAGGCACAGAAAAAUAACAUCACAAGAGCAGUAGUUUUGCAUAAUUUAAGCUUCCUCAAUGACCAUGUCAAAAGGAUGACUAUGUCACAUACCUUUCUUGCUCUGAGUGAAAUCUUUCGAAAGGCACCAAGCAAUUUUACACAAAGUCUUCAGAUAAAGCCAAUUUCUAAUUUCAGAGCAGACCUACAAAUCAGCACCUACUAGAAAUCAAUGGUCACUCAUGAGUUAGACAAACCAAGCAAAAUAUAUGUUCGAUUCACAACCAAAUAAGCUAGGAUUGAUCAAAUGCAGCUGUGAGUACAGGACACAUGUCAUUCUUCCUGUAUGCCACUCCAUUUUUUAACUAAACAGAACACAAUGAAAUGACUCUAUUACUAUACAUGGUAAGCUAAUAUUCCUUUAGCAAUUCAGGUGGUGAACCAUAAAUUGGAACAUGCUGUUUCAGUUUGGAGCCAACAUACAUAUGCACUAACGCACCAGGAUGGUUGGAUUAAUAUAUGAUAUGUGAUGAUAAGAUAAUACUCCAAGGUUUUGCCUGACAGAUUAACAAACCAAAUGGUUGCUCUUUUACACGCACUUUCAAGACCCUAGAAUGUUUGGAAUAUAAGAUACGACAAGAUAAACAGAGUAUCUCUUGAAAGGACAUUUUGCACCAAUCCUACCUCCUUGAAUUAACCCACCCACAAACAAAUUUGCCCUCUUCACAAUAUACUAGAACAUUGUGCAUAUAGAUUAGCAUAACAGGGAGGUAAGGGUGGCUGUGCUCACUUGUGAGGUCAGGUUAGUUAGAUGCACUGCAAAAUGUUCGAUGUUCUUCAGUACAGCUGCUCACUUGGGUACAAAUUUCAGACAACAGAGAAGGUCCUUCGAUCUGUAUAGGCGCUCGUCAGUUCGUGUAGCAGAAAAGAAAUCACCAUGGCGAAGAAAAAUGGUUAGUGGAAGAGGAGAAGGAGGGGAUAGCCUUGGUCAGAAAGAGGAGGAUGACCUCUGGGCAGAGACGAGAUCCGGGAAGAGGGAGGAUGAUGACCCCGGUCGCCGUUGCCCCCGCCGGAGGAG